rnacentral:rRNA from 1 species
GACGAACGCUGGCGGCGUGCCUAAUACAUGCAAGUCGAACGCAGUGGGGACGGGUGAGUAACACGUGGGUAACCUCCCAUCAGAGGGGAUAACACUUGGAAACAGGUGCUAAACCGAUACUGAUGGAUGAACCAGGGGUGGAUUUGCUAGUUGGUGGGGUAACGGCUCACCAAGGCUACGAUGCAUAGCCGACCUGAGAGGAUGAUCGGCCACACUGGGACUGAGACACGGCCCAGACUCCUACGGGAGGCAGCAGUGGGGAAUCUUCGGCAAUGGACGAAAGUCUGACCGAGCAACGCCGCGUGUGUGAAGAAGGUUUUCGGAUCGUAAAGCUCUGUUGUUGGAGAAGCGGUAUCUAACCAGAAAGCCACGGCUAACUACGUGCCAGCAGCCGCGGUAAUUC